UACGUAGGGCGCAAGCGUUGUCCGGAAUUAUUGGGCGUAAAGAGCUCGUAGGCGGCUUGUCACGUCGGCUGUGAAAACCCGAGGCUCAACCUCGGGCCUGCAGUCGAUACGGGCAGACUAGAGUGCUGUAGGGGAGACUGGAAUUCCUGGUGUAGCGGUGAAAUGCGCAGAUAUCAGGAGGAACACCGGUGGCGAAGGCGGGGUCUCUGGGCAGUAACUGACGUGAGGAGCGAAAAGCGUGGGGGGAGCAAAA
rnacentral:rRNA from 1 species